rnacentral:rRNA from 1 species
GGGGAAUAUUGGACAAUGGGCUAAAGCCUGAUCCAGCCAUGCCGCGUGUUUGAAGAAGUUCUUCGGAUUGUAAAGCCCUUUAAGUUGGGAGGAAGGGCAGUAAGUUACUACCUUGCUGUUUUGACGUUACCACCAGAAUACGCCCCGUCUAACUUCGUGCCAGCAGCCGCGGUAAUACGAAGGGUGCAAGGUUAAUCGGAAUUACUGGGCGUAAAGCGCGCGUAGGUGGUUCGUUAAGUUGGAUGUGAAAGCCCCGGGCUCAACCUGGGAACUGCAUCCAAAACUGGCGAGCUAGAGUAUGGCAGAGGGUGGUGGAAUUUCCUGUGUAGCGGUGAAAUGCGUAGAUAUAGGAAGGAACACCAGUGGCGAAGGCGACCACCUGGACUGAUACUGACACUGAGGUGCGAAAGCGUGGGGAGCAAACA